GACGAACGCUGGCGGCGUGCCUAAUACAUGCAAGUCGAGCGGACGGAUGGGAGCUUGCUCCCAGACCGUCAGCGGCGGGCGGGGUAGUAACACGUGGGCAACCUGCCUGUAAGGCUGGGAUAACGCCGGGAAACCGGGGCUAAUACCGGAUAACUCUUUCCCUCACAUGAGGUAAAGCUGAAAGAUGGCAUCUCGCUAUCACUUACAGAUGGGCCCGCGGCGCAUUAGCUAGUUGGUGAGGUAACGGCUCACCAAGGCGACGAUGCGUAGCCGACCUGAGAGGGUGAUCAGCCACACUGGAACUGAGACACGGCCCAGACUCCUACGGGAGGCAGCAGUAGGGAAUAUUCCGCAAUGGACGAAAGUCUGACGGAGCAACGCCGCGUGAGUGAUGAAGGUUUUCGGAUCGUAAAACUCUGUUGUCAGGGAAGAACAGGUACCGGAGUAACUGCCGGUACCUUGACGGUACCUGAAGAGAAAGCCACGGCUAACUACGUG
rnacentral:rRNA from 1 species